rnacentral:rRNA from 1 species
GGGUGCGAGCGUUGUCCGGAAUCACUGGGCGUAAAGGGCGCGUAGGCGGCGCGGUAUGUCCCCUGUGAAAUCUCCUGGCUCAACUGGGAGCUUGCAGGCGAAACUGCCGUGCUGGAGUGUGGGAGAGGUGCGUGGAAUUCCUGGUGGAGCGGUGAAAUGCGUAGAUAUCAGGAGGAACACCUGUGGCGAAAGCGGCGCACUGGACCACAACUGACGCUGAGGCGCGAAAGCUAGGGGAGCAAACAGG